AACGAACGCUGGCGGCAGGCCUAACACAUGCAAGUCGAGCGAACCCUUCGGGGUUAGCGGCGGACGGGUUAGUAACGCGUGGGAGUAUACCCUUUGGUACGGAAUAGCCUCGGGAAACUGAGAGUAAUACCGUAUGUGCCCUUCGGGGGAAAGAUUUAUCGCCAAAGGAUUAGCCCGCGUUGGAUUAGAUAGUUGGUGGGGUAAUGGCCUACCAAGUCUACGAUCCAUAGCUGGUUUGAGAGGAUGAUCAGCAACACUGGGACUGAGACACGGCCCAGACUCCUACGGGAGGCAGCAGUGGGGAAUCUUAGACAAUGGGCGCAAGCCUGAUCUAGCCAUGCCGCGUGGACGAUGAAGGCCUUAGGGUUGUAAAGUCCUUUCAGAUGGGAAGAUAAUGACGGUACCAUCAGAAGAAGCCCCGGCUAACUCCGUG
rnacentral:rRNA from 1 species